rnacentral:rRNA from 1 species
GAUGAACGCUGGCGGCGUGCCUAAUACAUGCAAGUCGAGCGAACAGACGAGGAGCUUGCUCCUCUGACGUUAGCGGCGGACGGGUGAGUAACACGUGGAUAACCUACCUAUAAGACUGGGAUAACUUCGGGAAACCGGAGCUAAUACCGGAUAAUAUAUUGAACCGCAUGGUUCAAUAGUGAAAGACGGUUUUGCUGUCACUUAUAGAUGGAUCCGCGCCGCAUUAGCUAGUUGGUAAGGUAACGGCUAACCAAGGCAACGAUGCGUAGCCGACCUGAGAGGGUGAUCGGCCACACUGGAACUGAGACACGGUCCAGACUCCUACGGGAGGCAGCAGUAGGGAAUCUUCCGCAAUGGGCGAAAGCUUGACGGAGCAACGCCGCGUGAGUGAUGAAGGUCUUCGGAUCGUAAAACUCUGUUAUUAGGGAAGAACAAAUGUGUAAGUAACUAUGCACGUCUUGACGGUACCUAAUCAGAAAGCCACGGCUAACUACGUG